rnacentral:rRNA from 1 species
CAGUAGCCGCGGGAAUACGUAGGGUGCAAGCGUUAAUCGGAAUUACUGGGCGUAAAGCGUGCGCAGGCGGUUUUGUAAGACAGAGGUGAAAUCCCCGGGCUCAACCUGGGAACUGCCUUUGUGACUGCAAGGCUGGAGUGCGGCAGAGGGGGAUGGAAUUCCGCGUGUAGCAGUGAAAUGCGUAGAUAUGCGGAGGAACACCGAUGGCGAAGGCAAUCCCCUGGGCCUGCACUGACGCUCAUGCACGAAAGCGUGGGGAGCAAGCAGGAUUAGAUACCCCCGUAGUCCCUGUCUCUUAUAA